rnacentral:rRNA from 1 species
UACAGAGGUCCCAAGCGUUGUUCGGAUUUACUGGGCGUAAAGGGUGCGUAGGUGGCGAGGUAAGUUCGAUGUGAAAUCUCCGAGCUCAACUCGGAAAUGGCAUUGAAUACUAUCCCGCUUGAGGGUCGGAGGGGAGACUGGAAUUCUCGGUGUAGCAGUGAAAUGCGUAGAUAUCGAGAGGAACACCAGUGGCGAAGGCGGCGCUCUGGGCUGCACCUGACGCUGAGAUGCGAAAGUGUGGGGAGCAAACGGG